rnacentral:rRNA from 1 species
GACGAACGCUGGCGGCGUGCUUAACACAUGCAAGUCGAACGGAAAGGCCUGCUUUCCCUUGUGGAUUGCGGGUACUCGAGUGGCGAACGGGUGAGUAACACGUGAGUGAUCUGCCCCCAACUUGGGUAUAAGCCUGGGAAACUGGGUCUAAUUCACGAUAGGACUGCAGGGUGGUGCCUGUUGUGGCAAACGGUUUUCUAGUGGUUGGGGAUGGGCUCGCGGCCUAUGAGCUUGUAGGUGGGGCACUGGCCUACCACGGCGGCGACGGGGAGCCGGCGGGGGAGCGGGGACGGUCGAAUUGGGACUGGGAUACGGCCCCGACGCCUACGAGAGGCAGCAGAGGGUGAUCUAGCAGAAUGGGCCGAAUGCUGAUGCAGCGACGCUGCGUGGGGGAUGACGGCCUUCGGGUUGUAAUCUCCUUGCGACCGCGAGGAAGCCACCUGGUUGGAAGGGUGGUGACGUUAGUGGUAGAAGAAGCACCGGCUAACUACGUG